rnacentral:rRNA from 1 species
UACAGGGGGUGCAAACGUUGCUCGGAAUCAUUGGGCGUAAAGCGCACGUAGGCGGUUUGUUAUGUCGGAUGUGAAAGCCCUUGGCUCAACUGAGGAUGUGCAUCCGAAACUGGCAAGCUAGAGUACUAAAGAGGGUCGCGGAAUUCCCGGUGUAGAGGUGAAAUUCGUAGAUAUCGGGAGGAACACCGGUGGCGAAGGCGGCGACCUGGGUAGAUACUGACGCUGAGGUGCGAAAGCGUGGGGAGCAAACAGG